GGCAAGGUGGCCGAGUGGUUAUGGCGCUAGUUUCAGGCUCUGGUAUACACUAGAUUCCGAAAAGGUUUUCAAACUUACUAGUGGGUAAAACCGCGCGAGUUCGAGUCUCGCCCUUGUCA